rnacentral:lncRNA from 1 species
AAAAGGAGAGCCGCACUCUCUUGCUCAGACUCAAUAAUUGAAUAACCUAAUAUCCAACGUUCCGACCGACAAGCUGUCUUCAUCAUUGUAUGUUAGGAGGACCUCUGACCGUACCUCAUUGAAAAGGUGAAGGUACUGAAGGAGAAGAUAACUUCCCAGUGUCUGGACAGAAGCUCAUAUAUGCUGGCAAAAUCCUGCAAGAUGACACACCUAUUAAAGACUACAAAAUUGACGAGAAGAAUUUCGUUGUAGUUAUGGUAUCGAAGGCAAAGUCUGCCACAGCUGCUUCAACACCUUCCUCAGAGGCAUCCAAGGCCCCUGUCCAGGACUCUGGGUCGUCUGCGGGCCCGGCCCCUGCAGCCAUCCCUAUCCCCCCAGAGGAGCCCACACCUCCAGUCGCAGAGCCCCCAGCUCUGAUGUCCUCUUAGUCUUUCCCACAGUAGUUGUGGGUCAAGACUGUCUUCCAAACUGAUCUGUGAUGUAUGGUCUGUUACAUUGCCAUUCAUUGUUCCAUUACUUUAUUGUAUUUGUGGUUACAUUCAAAUCCUGAGGGAGUGCGUAGAUAGACUGUGCACAGACACACAAUAUUGUUUUAAUAUUAUUAACUUUUUCCACUUUUUACUCAACAUGAAUGAAUGAUAGAGAUUGCCUCUUAUACAGUGCAUUCGGAACGUAUUCACACCCAUUGACUUUUUCCACAUUUUGUUACGUUACAGCCUUAUUCAAAAAGGAUAAAAAAAUUACAAAUCCUCAUCAAUCUACACACAAUACCCCAUAAUGACAAAGUGAAGACAGGUUUUUAGACAUUCUAGCAAAUUUAUACAAAAUAAAAAACAGAAAUACUUGUACAUGAUUGUACAUGAUUUGGAAAGGCACACCUGUCUAUAUAAGGUCCCGCAGUUGACAGUGCAUGUCAGAACAAAAACCAAGCCAUGAGGUCGAAGGAAUUGUCCUCCAUCAUUCCUAAAUGGAAGAAGUUUGGAACCUCAAAGACUCCUAGAGCUGGCUGCCUGGCCAAACUGAGCAAUCAGGUGAGAAAGGCCUUGGUCAGGGAGGUGAACAAGAACCUGAUGGUCACUCUGACAGAGCUCCAGAGUUCCUCUGUGGAGAUUGGAGAACCCUCCAGAAGGACAACCAUCUCUGCAGCACUCCACCAAUCAGGUCUUUCUGGUAGAGUGGCCAGACGGAAGCCACUUCUCAGCAAAAGGCAUA